ACCCAAUCUUUGCGCUGGUUGCCUACCGUCCAUUUAUUUACCCCGAUCCCGUCAUUCCACCUGUUAGUCUCUCUCCAACCCUUGCACGUUUGGGUGCACCAGUGCUGAGGAUUGGAGACUCGCUGUUCACUGGAGACCCAAACAGUGCCAAUGGGUUGAGCCAUCAUG
rnacentral:ribozyme from 1 species